CCCCUUCAGCGCGCCCAGGCCAUAUUGCACCGCCUCCCGCACGUCGAUUAGAAUCGGGCUUUCCCCCUCCCCCUCCUCUCCCCACCGCUCUUGAUACCGCCUCCAAUACUCCCGAGCCGAUAUCCGCUCCUCAGCCCCCAACAGCGCCUGCGCGCCAACCACCCCGCCGCAGAACUGUACAUAAUCCAUCGACCCACUGCGCAGCGAGUCCAGUGUUAUUGUCCGCGCCGUCGGCGAACAAGCUGCGCAGUCCUGUCGCCGUCGGCGCAGCCGUAUGCUGCGGAAUGGGGGACUAGAGAAGGCCGAGAAGAGGUGAAGGGUUGGUGAUAUUGUUGUGGACGUGGCUGACGUUGUCUGCGUGAGGACGCGGAUCGCCUCGAGCGCUUGGAGGACGCCCAUGACUGCGACGACGGGGCCGAGGAUGCCGCCGUCGGCGCAGCUCGUGACGCUCGCGGCGGGAGGGGGUUUAGGGAACACACAGCGGUAGCACGGUCCUCCGGUGGUGGUGUCGGUUGGCAAGGAGGAUAGUUGGUCUGUUGGCUUUUGGGGAGGGUAGUUGAGGACCAUUAGCUGGCCCUCGGUGCGAAGCGCGGAGGCGGAAACGAGUGGUUUGCCUAGGAUGACAGCGGUGUCGGAGAUCAGGUAGCGGGUUGCAGGGUUGUCUGUGCAGUCUAGGAUGAGAUCGUAGGGACUGAAGAUCGAAGGUGCGUCGGCGGGGGUAAGGUUGACGCGGUAGGGGAUGUAUUUGGGAUACGGGUUCAAUCUGGAG
rnacentral:sRNA from 1 species